AUCCAGUUGAUGAGUCCCAAAUAGGACGAAACAAGCGUCAAACUGGAU
rfam:Schistosoma mansoni strain Puerto Rico chromosome 3, complete genome